UACGUAGGGUGCAAGCGUUAAUCGGAAUUACUGGGCGUAAAGCGUGCGCAGGCGGUUUUGUAAGUCUGUCGUGAAAUCCCCGGGCUCAACCUGGGAAUUGCGAUGGAGACUGCAAGGCUAGAAUCUGGCAGAGGGGGGUAGAAUUCCACGUGUGAGCAGUGAAAUGCGUAGAGAUGUGGAGGAACACCGAUGGCGAAGGCAGCCCCCUGGGUCAAGAUUGACGCUCAUGCACGAAAGCGUGGGGAGCAAA
rnacentral:rRNA from 1 species